UAGCGUCGGUAUGGAGUUCAGUCUCUGC
rnacentral:sRNA from 1 species